GGUUCUCACCAUCUUUAGCCUACCCAUGGCAUAUGUUGUGAGUAAACACCGACAUCUAGUCUGUUAUUAUGCUACUGGUUAGCUAACAGUGCUCAUCAUUAGGUUACAGAUAUAUGCCUUAUCUGUUACAUGGGAUCCAGAACAUCUAGUCUUUUCACUUCACCUGUUUGUUCUUCUUGUGAGCAGUGUCCGCUGUUGCUGGAAGGGCCUAGGAAAAGUUGGAAGUGAUGCCGGUAACCUGAUAGGCUGCUGUUCCUUUUGCCUCUGAAGUUCAUUAUUGAUCCGGCUGAUGGCGACCUUAGAUCACCACAGUGCGCUGGCCACUGAUUUGAACGCCUUGAUGCCUGUCCAUCGGGUAAAAAGUCACAUUUGGUUCAAGAUUUGACAUGCCAUUCGUUGGCACUUGGUAACCCAAUCUGAUAGUGCAGCUCAUUUAACUGGGACUAAUUGUGUCCCAUUCAUCCAGCAAUCUGCAGCUCCCAGAACCGCUGAUUGGGGGAGUGUACUCAGUGAUCAAUCACAUGGUGAUCUGCAUACCAGUCGACGCCGACGAGGUUGUGCCGCCGGCCCGAUGAACUCUUCCUUGUGCGUUGUUAGUGUGCAUGGUCGCCACAUAUCCCGGGCAAGUUCUAACCUCCCACUCAACAGCUUUUAGCCUUCAGAAUAUAACAGAUGGCUGGUGCAUGCACAUGUACUCCUGGGGCAGGCCCAUGUUAACAGUUGACUCAUAGCAGUCCGAUCAGUGCCUCGAUCCAUCCCGGGGCAACAGCUGUGCAGUGCAGUAGGAUAUUCCCGGCGAUCAGAUCAUCACAGGGAAAUUGAAAGCUCAGCUGUAUGUUCCACCAAGGAUCAUGGCCAGUUGGCUGUGCAGUGUGUGCCCCAGUUUAUCUGUAUAUAUCGCUCUCGAGCCACCCAGAUAAUUAUUAGCUCUGCAGUGAGAGUCGGCUGAGGUGAAACCAAGAGGCAGAGCUUUCUCAGGAAGAGUAGGAUAAGUGACUACCAUGGUGUCGAUGGCCAGCUGCACAUCUGCAUCAAGGGCCAUCGCCGUCGCGUUCCUGGCCAUGUGCGUUGCCUCUGCGGGCCGUCGCCGCCGCCGGUCACUAGGACGACCUGCCGGCAUCGAUCUUAGCCUCGGAUGCAUCGCCAUGCCCAGGAACCUCUUCAUCCGCAUGGUAGCUUAGCUGUUAGCUCCAUCUACGGCCCAGGUACGUCCAGGUUGACAACUACUGACUGCGGUGCGGUGGUGGUCCUGUCGAUCCUUUUCUUUGCCGAUGCAGCGGCCGGUGGCGCCGAUUGAGCCGCCGCCGACGCGAUUGGUUCAUCUCCACUAGACUACUGCCACUACUCUACAAGUAUUCGGAUGGUCCAUCCUAGCUAAUAGUUGAUGUUGAUUCAGGUAAUGUAGUAUCUUUGCAUCUGCCUGCUCUAUGUUUCUGGUCUUCCGUCAGUUCCAUGUAUUCAGACUGUGCACUCCGCAACUUGCUUUGAUUAUGAA